UAAGGUAGCGAAAUUCCUUGUCGGGUAAGUUCCGACCCGCACGAAUGGUGUAACGAUUCUGGGCGCUGUCUCAACGCGGGACUCGGUGAAACUUAUAUUCCGGUAAAGAAGCCGGAUACCCGUAAUUAGACGGAAAGACCCCGUGAACCUUCACCGCAGCUUAUCACUGGGAUUCUAUCCGCCAUGUGUAGGAUAGCCGGGAGGCACUGAAGCGUGCGCGUCAGCGUGCGUGGAGCCGCUGGUGAAAUACCGGCCCUGGCGGAUGGGAUUUCUAACUCCGGUCCGUGAAGCCGGAUGGGGGACAGUGAUUGGCGGGCGGUUUGACUGGGGCGGUCGCCUCCUAAAGGGUAACGGAGGCGCGCGAAGGUCUCCUCGCGGUGGUUGGAAAUCAUCGUACGAGUGUAAAGGCACAAGGAGGCUUGACUGCGAGUGAGACAUCACGAGCAGGUGCGAAAGCAGGUCUUAGUGAUCUGGCGGUUGCAAGUGGAAGCGCCGUCACUUAACGGACAAAAGGUACUCCGGGGAUAACAGGCUGAUUUUCCCCAAGAGUUCACAUCGACGGGAAAGUUUGGCACCUCGAUGUCGGCUCAUCGCAUCCUGGGGCUGGAGCAGGUCCCAAGGGUUUGGCUGUUCGCCAAUUAAAGCGGUACGUGAGCUGGGUUCAGAACGUCGCGAGACAGUUCGGUCCCUAUCUGCUAUGGGCGUUGGAUAUGUGAGGGGAGCUGCUUUUAGUACGAGAGGACCGAAGUGGACGAACCUCUGGUGUACCAGUUAUCCUGCCAAGGGUAAGUGCUGGGUAGCUAUCGUUCGGAAGGGAUAACCGCUGAAGGCAUCUAAGCGGGAAGCCCACCUCAAGAUUACAUAUCCCUCGGGGUUUAACCCCGCUAAAGACUCCUUGCACACUACAAGGUUGAUAGGUUGCAGGUCUAAGCACAGUAAUGUGUUAUAGCCGAGCAAUACUAAUAAGUCGUGAGGCUUGACCAU
rnacentral:rRNA from 1 species